rnacentral:rRNA from 1 species
AUGCCCAUAGGUACCGCCGCAACCACCAUGCCCACCGUUGCCUCCUGGAUCCUCCUCCAUGUCCAUGCCACCGUCCGCCAACCUCCCAAAAACGCCUCCGCCGUCGCCCACUCGAGCAAUAACGAGAAAAUAUAUGCUUCCCUUCUCCGCCAGCGCCCGCCGGUUCCCUCCAAUCUGUACGUGUACUGCGCAGACGGCACAUUCGGAGAGACCCCCCGCGUGCUGUCAAUGGUGGACGACAUCAUCCUCUUCCACGCAUACAUCGGUCCUGCGUUCCCCUCCCCCAAGCCAUGGAAGGGGGACUUCUUCAUAUACCGGUCUGACUCCAAUCGACGGUCUCUGGAGCGUCUACCGCACCCCCAAGGUAUGAUCGGAAGGGACGAUCCAUUCGGCAUCUUUCCCCGAGAGGGCGACAGCUACACAAUCGCGGCGCUGUUACCCAGCAUAUCCUCUAUGUACGAUUUUGAACUCCACCUCUUCGACUCGGAGACUCGGAUUUGGAGCAGGAAGAAUCUGACUGUUGGGUCGCGACAGGAAAGGUUCAAGGUUGAUAUCCCCAUCAACAUAAGUCAGAUCUUACACCAUAACACAUCCACUGUGAUCACUCUUGGAGGCUCCAUGUGCUGGGUUGAUCUUUGGCGUGGUAUAUUGUUCUGUGACAUGCUCUCCGAGAAACAUGCACUCACAGGUGUUCCACUGCCACUGCCAUUGAUCUACUAUUCUGGUGAUAGAAGCAAGAUCCUAGGACCUGCGAAGUGUCACCGUAGCAUUGCUUUUCUUGAUGGAUGCACCAGGCUCGUUGAGGUGAAUUCUGAUGUCAGUAUUGCCGAAGGAACUGAAUUUGGUUGUGGCCGAACUGAAGACUGGACGAUUACCACAUGGUACAACAAUAAUGUGCAUAAUAAUUCUUAUGAUGAUUGGCAUCCGGACAUCACACUAAAAGCUUCCAACAUCAUCCUGGGCAACCACUCCGUGAAGCUGCCGUUAGGCUUGCAGUACCUUUUUGUUUCUGACCCAACUAUUUGCAUGAACAAUAGGGAUGGCUAUAUUGUUUACCUGACUGCGAGGGAGAAGUAUAUGCAUUCUAAGUCAUGGAUUAUUGCUAUUGAUUUGAAAAAGCGCAAGGUGCAAAGUGUGGUUCUGUCUGGUCCUGUACCUCCGCCAAUGCCGCGCAUUGACACUAACUACUGCACUUGUAGUAUCUCCAAGUACUGUACCAGCACUUCAACAGGAAUUAUGCAGGAAAUUAUGCAGGUUCAUUUUCCUCCGGAAAAACAAACUGUGAUGCGUUCGGUUCAAAGGAUGACUGGUCGCUCGUUACAUAGGAAAGUGAACCUGGCCUGUACAUUUCACGGGAAUUAG